rnacentral:rRNA from 1 species
GACCCGUCUUGAAACACGGACCAAGAAGUCUAUCUUGCGCGCAAGCCAAUGGGUGUCGCGCGGUGCCACCGUGCACUGCGCACACGUGUAAACCCCAAAGGCGUAGACAACUCGAACAAGUUUGUACGGGGAUUACGGGCUCGGCACUGGCGCAAGCCUUCGUCGGGCCCCUCCAUCCCGGGGUGUCCCACCGAGCGGGCCUCCGGGUCCGCUGUGGGCAUCCCUCGAGUGCGUAGGAUGCGACCCGAAAGAUGGUGAACUAUGCCUGAUCAGGCCGAAGUCAGGGGAAACCCUGAUGGAGGGCCGAAGCAAUUCUGACGUGCAAAUCGAUUGUCAGAGUUGGGCAUAGGGGCGAAAGACCAAUCGAACCAUCUAGUAGCUGGUUCCUUCCGA